GGACUCGCUUCAGCAGUGCAAAUACUAAAAUUGGAACAAUACAGAGAAGAUAAGCAUGGUCCCUGUGCAAGGAUGACACACCAAUUCAUGAAGCAUUCUAUAAAUUA